UUGAAGGCCCGGAAAUUACAGAACUUCUAUUGAAUGAAUACAGAAAUGCCACAAACAUGACAGAUCAGUUUUCAGCUUUGGUGGCUAUUGAUCAGCAACCUGCAAUUCGUGAAGAGAUUUUGGCUGAUUUCUACAACAAGUGGCAGGAUGACUUCUUGGUAACAUCUCUAUGCUUCUAUUGCCUGCACCUCGACCUGAUAUCAUCUUUGGGCCCCAUAAAAGGAAACCUGCAAUUCUCUUGCGUUAGGACUGAUUGUCCUCCGGCCCUGUUCUUGCCUUCGAAUUGUUGAUUAACCUCCUUGUAACUUAAAUUAUUCAUCUCUAGUUUCAAUUAAACAUGUGGUAUUACAUUGCAUGUUUUGCAGUAUUGUAGUGAUAUGAACAAGAUAAGCUUGAACAAAUCUUUGUCUCGCUCUUUUUUCCGUAG
rnacentral:lncRNA from 1 species